AGAGGUCCUGUACCAUGGGAACAGAAGGGUCAUUUGGACAGAGGAGGAGAAAGUGGCUGUGUUAACCGAAGCCCAUGCAGGCCAUUUUGGACCACGGAGGAUGCAAGCGAAGAUUGCUCCCCGGUUUUAUUGGCGGUCCAUCACACAGGACACAUUGGAUUAGGUGCGCACAUGUCCUGACUGCCAGCGCUUUGAAAAGUUAAAGACCGAGGCGCCUGAGCUGAAGCCCGUCAAGGUCGUAUCACCUUGGUACAUGGUUGGCCUUGAGGGACAUUUUCUUUACUCAUGGUUUGCCUGAAGUUAUCCUCACUGACCAGGGCACUGAAUUCAAGAAAGAGAGUUAUGGAGGUUCUUCCAAACAAUAUGGUUAGGCUGGAGACCCUGGAUGGAAAGCCCAAGCAUAUGAUGACCCCGUAUGCAUCACUGAAACCUCUGCGCCCGAGGACUCACCCUGGCUGGCCAAAGGAUUCCCCUUCAGCCCCUGUGCUUCCAGGAGAUGCUGAAAUGCUGACUUCCUUCAUCAUCGGAGGAGGAAACUGAGUGUCAUUGUUUCACGGACCAUACAUAUGCUGGCCCCACAUCACCCUGGAAAAAAGAGCUGCACCCCGACCAGAAACAACUG